rnacentral:rRNA from 1 species
CGGGUGAGUAACGCGUGAGGAACCUGCCUCAAAGAGGGGGACAACAGUUGGAAACGACUGCUAAUACCGCAUAAGCCCACGGCUCGGCAUCGAGCAGAGGGAAAAGGAGCAAUCCGCUUUGAGAUGGCCUCGCGUCCGAUUAGCUGUUGGUGAGGUAACGGCCCACCAAGGCGACGAUCGGUAGCCGGACUGAGAGGUUGAACGGCCACAUUGGGACUGAGACACGGCCCAG